AGAGUUUGAUCCUGGCUCAGGACGAACGCUGGCGGCGUGCUUAACACAUGCAAGUCGAACGGAAAGGCCCUUCGGGGUACUCGAGUGGCGAACGGGUGAGUAACACGUGGGUGAUCUGCCCUGCACUUUGGGAUAAGCCUGGGAAACUGGGUCUAAUACCGAAUAUGACCAUGCACUUCCUGGUGUGUGGUGGAAAGCUUUUGCGGUGUGGGAUGGGCCCGCGGCCUAUCAGCUUGUUGGUGGGGUAAUGGCCUACCAAGGCGACGACGGGUAGCCGGCCUGAGAGGGUGACCGGCCACACUGGGACUGAGAUACGGCCCAGACUCCUACGGGAGGCAGCAGUGGGGAAUAUUGCACAAUGGGCGCAAGCCUGAUGCAGCGACGCCGCGUGAGGGAUGACGGCCUUCGGGUUGUAAACCUCUUUCAGCACAGACGAAGCGCAAGUGACGGUAUGUGCAGAAGAAGGACCGGCCAACUACGUGCCAGCAGCCGCGGUAAUACGUAGGGUCCGAGCGUUGUCCGGAAUUACUGGGCGUAAAGAGCUCGUAGGUGGUUUGUCGCGUUGUUCGUGAAAACUCACAGCUUAACUGUGGGCGUGCGGGCGAUACGGGCAGACUUGAGUACUGCAGGGGAGACUGGAAUUCCUGGUGUAGCGGUGGAAUGCGCAGAUAUCAGGAGGAACACCGGUGGCGAAGGCGGGUCUCUGGGCAGUAACUGACGCUGAGGAGCGAAAGCGUGGGGAGCGAACAGGAUUAGAUACCCCGGUAGUCC
rnacentral:rRNA from 1 species